rnacentral:rRNA from 1 species
AACGAACGCUGGCGGCAGGCCUAACACAUGCAAGUCGAGCGAGGACUUCGGUCCUAGCGGCGGACGGGUGAGUAACGCGUGGGAACGUGCCCUUUGGUACGGAAUAGCCCCGGGAAACUGGGAGUAAUACCGUAUGGUGUCUUCGGACUAAAGAUUUAUCGCCAAAGGAUCGGCCCGCGUUGGAUUAGGUAGUUGGUGGGGUAAUGGCCUACCAAGCCGACGAUCCAUAGCUGGUUUGAGAGGAUGAUCAGCCACACUGGGACUGAGACACGGCCCAGACUCCUACGGGAGGCAGCAGUGGGGAAUCUUAGACAAUGGGCGCAAGCCUGAUCUAGCCAUGCCGCGUGAGCGAUGAAGGCCUUAGGGUUGUAAAGCUCUUUCAGGGGGGAAGAUAAUGACUGUACCCCCAGAAGAAGCCCCGGCUAACUCCGUG